rnacentral:lncRNA from 1 species
AACACAACAUAGGGAAGAUAUAGGUUGCUUACCCCAACUCUAGGCUAUCUGGAAGGCCUUCUAGUUUGCUGGGCUGGCUUAGCCUCAUCUAGGAUUAAAGAAUGAGGAACCUGUGCUCUGAUGCACAACAGUCAUGAGCAUGCAGCUUCACCUACUGUAGUGAGUAGCAGCUGGAGUCAGCACAUGAGAUAGUACUAGAGUCAGCCUGCAGGGCCAGGGCAAUAAUCCAGAGGGUAAACUUCAACACAAUUCACCGAGGGAGGCUAAAAGGGGACACCAUGAGAAGGGGGCAUCAUCUGUGUGAUUGCACAGUGGUGACUGCACAAAAGUCACCAAGAAAGAACAGCUCCCUGGCUCCCAAGAGAAGGACUUGGAGCAUGAGCCAGGCUCCGGGGACAUCAAAGCAGAAGAUACAAUCUAGGCGUGGAUGACUUCACACCCAUUUCUCACACAGGCCUGGCACUAGACACAAGGCUUCUUUGGGACAGGGCAAGGCACAUGACACACCAGGAUGGGAGAAGCCAGGAGAGUUAGGAUCCAAGAACAAGAAGAUUUAACACA